UCGUCACCAACACUUCUCAAAGCUCUCCAGCUCUCCUCCUGUUGAAGUUAAACACGCCGGCGACGGCGGAAGUCCCCGAACUUCUCAUCAAAUUGAAGCAUUCACAUUAGAAUUUUCAUAUCCAUACUGUACGUGUUCACUUGUUUACUGCUCCGCGUUUCGCCUUUCUAAUUAUCUUGGAGAUUCCGAGGUGUAGCUUUGGGAGUCUUCAUACAAGAUACAAAGAUCUGCCUUUGGGAGCUAAAUAUAAGUCUUAGGGAACAUGCUAAAUAUAGCUUAGUGAUUUGCAUUACUCAAGACAACCUGCAGCAAAAGGGGAUUUAUCUGCAGCUGGUGCUAUAUGUGUGAGGAUGCCUCGGAAUCUGUCUAUCACCUUCUCCUACAUUUUAAACUCACAUGGCUUUUAUGGUUAAUGUUUCUAAGCGUUUUUGGAGUACACCACUCUAGGUUUAGGUUAUACCAUGGAACAUUCAGCAAGUUUUAAUCAUUUGGAAUGGGCAGACCACUGCAAAAACUUGCAGGUAACUUUGAAGAUCAGUUUCCUUCUCCAUAUUCUGGAGUAUUUGGCUUGAGAGAAAUAGUAGAUGCUUUUGUGAAAAUGUAGAACAUAUGCCCUCUGUAAAAUAUAAAUGUGUUAAGAAUCUGUUCUUCUGGUGUAAAAGGGAAAAUAGUUACUGAUUUUGUUACUCUGUCUGAUCUUAUGUACUCCUUCAACCUAUAGAAGGAGAAGAACUUCCUUUGUACUUAUACAGCACCUCCUUGGUUCUUAUCAAUAAAACUUUUACCCUCUUAUAGAGAAAUCUUAAGACUAAAAUCCAAGUUUAUCAUUAUGCUAGCAUUUUGAUGCAAGCUAGGAGUUGUUUACAAUGUUGAGAAGUGAUAGAGUUCCUCAGUUCCUUCAAAAUUGUCAAGGAGUUGGAUUUUGUAAUCUCAUAUUAGAGACAGCCGCUAAGAUAGUGCUGUUGUUGAUGCAAUAGAUCAUUAUGUAUUUAUCAGAAUAAAAAAGUUCACUGGUAGUCUCAAGAGUCAUGAAGACUUCUUGCGGUGGAUUUGUUGGAUACUUGGAGUAUUGGAGGUUAGUCUGGUUGUAGUACUUGCAGGCAGAGAGAAGUAUGUAUGAGGUGAGUUGCAAUGUUUCUAAAAACAAAAAGUGCAAAAAAGAGGUCCAUUAGCCUUCAAGCAGAAAAGCAAGAAAUGAUUAAGCGCACAAUUUACAAAGAAAAUAAAAGUACCAAUAUAUAUGAUUAUAGUACUAUAAUAGUAAAUAUCAAUUGAAAUAGCUAAUUCCAGCAUUCAGUAUAUACAGUAAUGUCAAUAUUAGUCCAAUUCAUAAGGUUGAGAUUUAAAGAAUCGACCAUUUCUUGUUGGAAUCACUAUGUGCGUCAUUUGUUGAAGCGCACACUUAUUUAGGCACACGAUUUUGUCAAUGAAGCGAUAACUCCUUGCUUCGCAUUGCUUCAUCGCUUUAAGCAGCGAAUCAAUGUCUUUUAAUAACAUCAGAGCUGACAUUCAUUCUACCGUUCUCUAUGUUACUUCUAUGAAUCCUACAGUAUUCUUGCCAACAAAUAUACUUAUGAUCCAGAUCUUCUGAAGC